AUUAUAUAUUAUUAUUUGCCGAUAUAUUGGCCGGGCCGCAAAAUAUUUGUUGUGGGCCGCGAGUUUGACAUCAUUGCUCUACGAUAUUACUUUUGAAAUAUAAAGAAAAUAGAUGUAAUGGAAAUCAUGCGGUUGAAAGAUGAAUACGGCAGUAUGUCAAACAAUGUUUGGUACCUGAAAUCUAGUGAUGGGAAAAUUUUCCGCUAAUUUUGAGAUCCCGACUAUUGGGAAUUAGAAACCGUUCUUUAAUAAAAUUCCUAUAAAUAUUACUUAAUUAUUCUGAUAAUAUGAUGUGCUUUAUUCUAUUAAAAAAUUUUCACUUUAAGAAUUAUGAAUUGGACCAAAAUUAAAAUAUGAAAUAUUUUAUUUUUCUCAUGUGAUACCUUUCAAAGAUGUUUAUGAUUCCGUGUACGUCUAAUAGCUAACGUAAAUUAAUUAAAUGAAGUUGAAAUCAAGAAUAACAUGUACUUUGGGAUUAUGUCUUGUUAUGAUUAUUUCAUUGGCAUUUUAUUUCAAUUACUCGCAGAUAGAUCUUCAAAGAUCAGAAAAAAGCCAGAUGUCAAAGUACCAUUUUGAAAAAGAAACUAGUUCAUCCUUACAGCACAGUGAACAUUUCAGUGAUCGAACUUAUAAGAAUCUUAGCAUUACCAGUGUGGCAGCUGUUGCUGGAAUAAAAAUAAAUACAAAACUGCAAAAUAUGAAUUUCACAUUUAAUGGAAAAGGAUUAGAUUAUCCAAGAAUAGUGCACUAUAUAAAAGAAAACUUACGAAGUGAUUUAAAGAUGAAAGUGUCACCAUGGAAUCUGGCUGCUGGUUGGGUGAAUUCAAGGGAAAUACACGGAGAAAAUACUCCUGAACUGGGAUUUGUUCUGAAUGCUAUGGUUACUUACAAAAUAGUUCAUGCUGGCAUAGGUUAUAAAGGUACACAGUUAAAAAUGAUGCUGAAACUUAGUGGAGGUCAAGAAGUUAUUUUCAAACCUCUGAAAUAUUCGAGAGAGUAUGUCAUCACUGGAUCACCUUAUGCUGGUGCUGACAGACAUAAUGGAGAAAUUGCAGCAUUUCACUUAAACAGGCUUUUAGGUCUUUGUCGAUGUCCUUUAACUGUUGGUAGAAUUAUCAACCUUAAAACAGAAGUUUUACCUGUUGCAUCAGAAAGUUUAUCAAAGACAUUUUUUACAAAAGAAAAUGACACUUGUUUCUAUGGACAUUGCUACUACUGUUCUCCUGCCGAUCCUGCAUGUGCUGUAGGAGAUGUUAUGGAAGGAGCUAUGAUUCUCAUGCUUCCAGAAAAAUACAGACUUAAGAAGUACCGUAGUCCAUGGCAGAGAACAUACAAAGAUACAGUUACAGCUCGAUGGGAACAAGAUUUUAACUACUGUGAUCAAAUAAGAAAAAUAAACAUGUUUAAAAAGGGUAACAGAUUAUUAGAUUUGAUUGAUGCUUCAGUCUUUGAUUACUUAAUUGGGAAUGCUGAUAGACAUCAUUAUGAAGUUUUUGCAGAUUUUCCAGAUAGCAUAGUCAUUCUCUUGGAUAAUGGAAAAAGUAUACUGCAUUAUUAGAAACAUAGGAUCUUGAGACAUAGGAGCAUGUAGUAAAUUUUUUAGAAGUUAGAGGUGAAUCUUCUUAAAAUAUCCAGGAGGAGAAGACAGAUAUAGAAUAUUUUCAAAGACAAAUCUUGCUAUUGAUGCAUUGCUCAAUCUACAAUUUUUGAUAAUUCAGUUUUGGAAAUCCAUAUUGGGAUGAAUUGACCAUUUUAGCACCAUUAUAUCAAUGUUGCAGAAUUCGGAAGAAAACAUAUGAGCGACUGUGGGCCUUCGUUGGUCAUCU
rnacentral:misc_RNA from 1 species